rnacentral:rRNA from 1 species
UACGAGGGGGGCAAGCGUUGUUCGGAUUUAUUGGGCGUAAAGGGUGCGUAGGCGGUUUGGCAAGUCUUGUGUGAAAUCUUUGGGCUCAACCCAUAGCCUGCAUUAGAAACUGUCGGGCUCGAGUCCGGGGAGAGGUGAGUGGAACUGCGAGUGUAGAGGUGAAAUUCGUAGAUAUUCGCAAGAACACCAGUGGCGAAGGCGGCUCACUGGCCCGGUACUGACGCUGAGGUGCGAAAGCGUGGGGAGCAAACAGG